GACGAACGCUGGCGGCGUGCUUAACACAUGCAAGUCGAACGGAAAGGCCCUGCUUUUGUGGGGUGCUCGAGUGGCGAACGGGUGAGUAACACGUGAGUAACCUGCCCUUGACUUUGGGAUAACUUCAGGAAACUGGGGCUAAUACCGGAUAGGAGCUCCUGCUGCAUGGUGGGGGUUGGAAAGUUUCGGCGGUUGGGGUUGGACUCGCGGCUUAUCAGCUUGUUGGUGGGGUGGUGGCUUACCAAGGUUUUGACGGGUAGCCGGCCUGAGUGGGUGACGGGCCCAAGUGGAAACUGCUACGGGCCGCAGCCCCUAGGGAUGUUGGACGGGGGGAUUGUGCCUGAAGGGGCGGAGUCCCGUGCCAGCAGCCCGGCGUGUGGGUUGUCGGCCUCUGUUUUGUGACCCUCUUGCGCCUGGGGCGACGCGCAUUGGAGGUAACUGGUGAAAAAAGCCCCGCUAAUCUCCUG
rnacentral:rRNA from 1 species